ACAAAUCACAUACAUAUGACUUAUAUAUAAUUCUAUUUGGCCAUUCUGGAAUUCAUGUAAUGAAAGGGGAGAAAACAUUUCCAGAAAUUUAGAUAUGAAAGUUAAUUAGUCAGUUUAAAUACAGGGCAGCAUAUCUCAUAAAAUUCAAAUUAAUGAGCCAAUCAAAUCUCUCUCCCUUUCAGCCAGCAUUGUUCAAUACAUUGAGAGAAUAUUCAACAUGCUUAAUGAUUAAAAUAUGUAAUGAUCUCGUUACGGUAAUUGAGAAAGACGUUACUACGUAUUUGAUGAUUUUGCUGUACCUCUAAGGACCGAAUAAACAAAGCAGAUUUCACCAAUACCAGCAACUGUCAAAAAACCGUUUCUGGGAAGUUUUACACAUAGACCAAUACUUUCAGUAAAUCUUCAAGAUAUAAACAUUUUGGAAAUUUAAAAUAAUUGAAGAAAUCUACAUGCCCAUCUGCUCUAUUUUUCCAGGUGGUAAUUUUGAAGACUGCAUAAUGAAGGGUUUUUUAUUUUCUGUUUUUGCUAUGAAAGCAUUAUUCCUUAAAUUUCAAAGUUAAUUUUUUCAUAUUUUCCUAUAUUAUUUCCUGGAGCUCACUUAAUAACUUGCUGCUAUGAAAGAUUGAACUCCGUCUUUCUGUGCUAAAAUACUUGCUGUAUCUAAUGUUAGUUUGCUGUUUAUAUGUCAUCUGAAGGAGGAAUCAGAAAAGUCACAGAAAGUCUUUCCUCUCAAAAAUCUCUUAAAUGUAACAUUAAUAAUCUCAGUGUAAAGGUUAAAGCUGACAAGCUCAGCAUCUUUAACUGCUGAGCCAUUGUGCCCUGGAAUCUUAGUGUGGUUUAAGAUUUACUGGAAGAAAAUAGUGUUUUAUUUCUUAGAUAGAUGGAGAGCCACAUUUAGCCAAAAUGAAGGACUUUUGACUAGUAAUUUCCUUUUUAUAUUAAAUAAAAAAAUGUUGUAUAGUACAAAUUAUAUAGAAUAUAGAUGAAAAGUGAUUAUGCCUUUACCAUAUCUUUUCCAAGAUACCAUCAUUUUAUAUUACCUAUUUCCAAAGUUUAUUGUUGUGCACAUAACCAAGAAUGCCUAUUUAACAAUCAAUA
rnacentral:lncRNA from 1 species